rnacentral:lncRNA from 10 species
AGCUGGGCAUGGUGGCUCACCACUGUAGUCCUAGCUACUCAGCUUGAGCCAAGGAGGCGGAGGUGGCAGUGAGCCAAGAUCAUGCCACUGCACUCCAGCACAGGUGACAGGGUGAGACUCUGUCUCAAAAAUAAAUAAAUAAAUAGGAUCUGAUACAUAGUAAGCUAUCAAUAGCUACCAUAUUAGCCAGGCACCGUGGCUCACCCUUGUAAUCCUAGCAGUUUGGUGGGCUAAUGCAGACAGGAUUGCUUGAGCUCUGGAGUUCAAGACCAGCCUGGGCAACAUAGUGAAACUAAAAUAGACUUUACUAAAAAUAAAAGUACAAAAAAUCUGCCGGGCAUGGUAGUGGGCGCCUGUAGUCCCAGCUACUCAGGAUGCUGAGGUGGGAGGAUCAUUUAAGCCUGGGAGAUCCAGGCUGCAGUGAGCUGUGAUAGCGCCACUGCACUCCAGCCUGGGUGACAGAGUGAGACCCAGUCUCAAAUAAAUAGCUACCAUAUUAGUUAUAAUAAUUUAUUAAUAUUUUGAGGUGUGAGAUCAGUGAGUUAAGCAGAUGGGCUGGAGUCUCUCUUCACUGCUAACUUGCUGUGUGACUGAAGAUAAAUUACUUGUCCGAAACUCUGUUUCCCGUCUGUGAAGAGAGAUUAAUAAUAUCUACCCUAUAGAAUUGUGACGGGGAUUCAAUGAAAUAAUGUGUAUGUGUGUGUGUUUUGGGGUUUAUUUAUUUAUUUAUUUUUGAGACAGAGUUUCACUCUUUUUUUUUGAGACAGAGUCUCGCUCUUUCUUCCAGGUUGGAGUGCAGUGGUGCUUGCUCACUGCAAGCUCCGCCUCCCGGGUUCACGCCAUUCUCCUGCCUCAGCCUCCCGAGUGGCUGGGACUACAGGCGCCCACCACCACCCCCAGCUAAUUUUUGUAUUUUUAGUAGAGACGGGGUUUCAUCAUGUUAGCCAGGAUGGUCUCGAUCUCCUGACCUCAUGAUCUGCCCACCUCGGCCUCCCAAAGUGCUGGGAUUACAGGCGUGAACCACCGUGCCCAGCCAAGAUGGAGUUUCACUCUUCUUGCCCAGGCUGGAAUGCAGUGGUGAGGUUUCAGCUCACUGCAUCCUACACCUCCCAGGUUCAAGCGAUUCUCCUACCUCAGCUUCCCAAGUAGCUGGGGUUACAGGCAUGCACCACCACACCCAACUAAUUUUUUGUGUUUUUAGUAGAGAUGAGGUUUUGCCAUGUUGGCCAGGCUGGUCUCGAACCCCUGACCUCAGGUGAUCCACCCACCUCAGCCUCCCAAAGUGCUGGGAUUACAGGCAUGAGCCACCAUGCUCAGCCGUGUGUGUGU